GAUGAACGCUGGCGGCGUGCCUAAUACAUGCAAGUCGAACGCUGAAGGAGGAGCUUGCUCUUCUGGAUGAGUUGCGAACGGGUGAGUAACGCGUAGGUAACCUGCCUGGUAGCGGGGGAUAACUAUUGGAAACGAUAGCUAAUACCGCAUGACAACAGUUAUUGCAUGAUAACUGUUUAAAAGGGGCAACUGCUCCACUACCAGAUGGACCUGCGUUGUAUUAGCUAGUUGGUGAGGUAACGGCUCACCAAGGCGACGAUACAUAGCCGACCUGAGAGGGGGAUCGGCCACACUGGGACUGAGACACGGCCCAGACGCCUACGGGAGGCAGCAGUAGGGAAUCUUCGGAAAUGGACGGAAGUCUGAACGAGCAACGCCGCGGGAGGGAAGAAGGUUUUCGGAUCGUAAAGCUCUGUUGUAAGAGAAGAACGAGUGUGAGAGUGGAAAGUUCACACUGUGACGGUAUCUGACCAGAAAGGGACGGCUAACUACGUG
rnacentral:rRNA from 1 species